rnacentral:rRNA from 1 species
AACGAACGCUGGCGGCAGGCCUAACACAUGCAAGUCGAACGCCCUAGCAAUAGGGAGUGGCGCACGGGUGCGUAACGCGUGGGAAUAUGCCCUUCACUGCGGAAUAACGUUUGGAAACGAACGCUAAUACCGCAUAAUGACUCCGGUCCAAAGAUUUAUCGGUGAAGGAUUAGCCCGCGUUAGAUUAGCUAGUUGGUGAGGUAAUGGCUCACCAAGGCGACGAUCUAUAGCUGGUCUGAGAGGAUGAUCAGCCACACUGGGACUGAGACACGGCCCAGACUCCUACGGGAGGCAGCAGUGAGGAAUAUUGGACAUGGGCGCAAGCCUGAUCCAGCCAUGCCGCGUG